CUAAGCCACGCGAAGUCUGCCAGUCAAAGCACGUUGGCUAGCGGCGAACGGCUCAGUAACACGUAGUCAACCUGCCCUCGGGACGGGAACAAUCUCGGGAAACUGAGGCUAAUUCUCGAUAGAUCAAGAUUCCUGGAAUGGGUUUUGGUCUAAAUGGUGUGACAGCAUCUUGUCACUUUCGCCCGAGGAUGGGACUGCGGCCGAUCAGGCUGUUGGUGGGGUAAAGGCCCACCAAACCAGUAACCGGUACGGGCUUUGAGAAAAGGAGCCCGGAGAUGGACACUGAGACAAGGGUCCAGGUCCUACGGGGCGCAGCAGGCGCGAAACCUUUCGCAUGCGCGCAAGCGCGACGAGGUUAUUCCCGAGUGAUUCCGCUGAGGAGAUCUUUCUCAGAUCUAAAUGUCUGGGAAUAGGGGGAGGCAGUCUGUGUCAGCCGCGCGUAA
rnacentral:rRNA from 1 species